UCAGUUUUCAGUUCCAUAAAAGACUGUUACUCAUCCCAGGAUUGUCUAGGCAUCUUCAGAAGGCUCUAGAUAGAACAGCACUGAUUGAAGUCAGCAGGUUAUUAGGCUGACCUGGACCUAUGGUUUCAUACCAGGUUUCACAAAACUCAGUGUGUGGACCACAUGGUUAGCAUGAGCUUCUCUUAGUUCUACUGACCUCCUUUGAGGGUGUUGGCCCACUACUAAUUGAUGUUGCCCCCAUGCAUUGGGCUUUCAUGGAUAGUUGUAGAUCCGUGUUCUUUUUGAGAGAUGCAGACACUAAUUGGUGCUCGGGCCAAACAAACAAGUUAUUCUUCCCGGAAUUUACUCUUUGUGGUUUGUGCAGCAGGCUUAUGUGUAUCGAAAUGAAUUCUAUUAAGUCUUCAUGGGUAUCUUGGUCCUGGUGGAGUUAGUGGCACUCGGGAGUGGGAAUGGGAGAAAGGGGCAGCAUGAUCUUACUAUGCAGACUGUAUUUCCAGAAACCUGCUCAGCCAGCUCCUGAUGGAGAACACAUGUAGGAAGAAGUUGGUCCCACUGAAGCAGGAGAGCAAGGAGGUACAUCUUGAUUGUGCACUCAACCAGAAAUAUUUGGUUGACUUCAACAAGAAAGAUAAAGACCAGCAACGUCCAGACCCAGCGUCAUCUGGUCUCAGAAAGUGCAAGAGAGCUGGAAUUGGACACACCCCAGUAAGAGAGCUUCCUGAAGAAUAAGUUGCUUUCUCAGGAGUCCCUGAUGACAAACAUCCUGAAUGAAUACAGCACCUGAGAGACAACUUGUGGGACCUCCUUUCAUUAUGUGUGCACGAGGAGAAACAGCAAUACAUCUGUGCUUCUAAAUGUUCGUUAAGAGUGUGCUAUUUAGAAAUAUUUUUGUUAUGAUUUUAAUUGAAAUUUUCUUUUUGUUGUUUCAUAUUUAUAUGUUCUUGUUACUGUUUUUAUCUUUUGAAAAAUUUUUAAUAUUUUAAUUUAUUUGUUUUAAUCCUGUUUUGUUGUAAAAAUGAAUUCCUUAUGAAUAAAAAUUGA